rnacentral:piRNA from 1 species
UCCUGAUAACUCGGGCUGGUUUCUGCAUU